CUUGAUAAGAACAACAUUAAAUUUAAUGAGAUUUUUCGGAAAAUGUUUGGAUUUUCUGGUGGCUGGUUGACAGUAGCAUGCAAUCAGGGAAUAAUUUAGGCACUCAAAUUCUUGCUUCGCUCUAAAAGUCCAAGAGACUAUAUAGAUAUUUUGCACAGACUGAAACACAGGCCAAAUAUAUUUAUAAAUGACAUGGCCCACAUUGUUGCUGCAUUUGGCAACAGAAAUUUUGACAUUUUCACCAAACAAAAGCAGUACUGCAUAGGCUACUGAGGAGAAUGUCCAAAAGGCAAAUGAAGGAGACCUACAGCUAUCAUUUCCUUUGAUUAAUUCAUUCUCAAAGCUAGGGAAAGAUGCAGAUGCUAACUGUCACCCAAUCACCGAUAGUGCGUAACAUUUGGCCCUUUUUGACCGACUUCGUGAGGGAAACAGCUCUAAUGAAGUUGAGGUACUGCGAAGGAUAGGUUGCAUCAAUGAGCUCUAUGGUCAAAUUAAUAGUCAAGUUGCAGAACAAAUUCAUGGCUCGUUCAACCUAAACAGAUACUUUCUCAAUAAAAAGUCUCCAUCUAAGCAUAUAUUUAUGUUACGCUUAAUCAUUGAUUUGACAAACUGGAACUGGCAAGUUAUUUGUGAAAUUGAGAAAAGAACAAGACUUGUUACUAAAUAAGAAAUUGCUAAAUUUGGUCGUGCAAUUCUUGCCCAUUCGAGAGAAGAGGACUAAGUUCAUGACGAUCAAAGCUCAGACGAUUCUGUUGACAGAUCCUUCCUUGUGACAGCAUCCAUAGAUCCAAUCCCAUGGUUUGAUGGUUUGAGAAAGUUUCAUUUUCUAAGGAAGACCAAACAUCAAAACCUGACUAUAAAGAAUUUAUCAACGGUUUGUACAGGACGGCAAUCGCCAGAAUCUUUCCUCAUAUUCAAACAAAAGUUUUGAAACCCAGCUAAAAAAGAGGUGUCUGCAAAAUAUCAAUAUUUUAAAACAAGUGAUAUCGAACCUGAAGAUACAGAAGGGCCUAUUGAUGAUCUUUUUCCAUUAGACGUCAAGGAACCCCUUGAUUUUGACAAUGCUAUUGUAAUAUCUGAUGAUGAUCUUAACUGAGGUAAAGUUAUUGAUAGUCAUAAUGUGGUAAUAGAUUUUGCAGCAAAUAUUCUCUCGUUUGAUACCACACAGAGUAGCAGUAAUAAUGAAAAUCCAGAGGCUAUAGUGGAAAAGUUGCAAAAGUGAAAUUAUUCUAAAUCAAAUUGAAUCAGGUUUACCCUUGUGUUGCUCUGUCAUUAGUGCUGCAUUGGAUAUCUUGCGCCAUCAUUUUCCUAGUCUAGGCAGAUUGAACCCAAUUUGUAAACUUAAUAAUAUGUGGGGCAGCGGCAAAAGUUUCGUUCAAAUUGUUCCCUUCAAUGAUUUAGGGGAUGGAUGCAUUGAAUGGGGCACCCUGUCAAAUGUCUUCUUGUCUAGAACUAUUUUUUCGUAUGACAUUCUUGUAAGAAACCAUUUCUCCAAAAACAAAAUUGAAUGUAAAUACGAUAUUUCAGUCGAGGGUUAUGCUGCAUUACUUAGACAACCAAAGAAAGAUAGCUUCGAAAUUCAAGUUGUAGAUACCACAUCAUCUUUAAAAAAUGCAGACAGCGAAAUAGCUGCUAUAUUUUAUACACUCAGUCUUGAUGCAGGAAACUUGAUCCACAGGUAAUUUAUUACAACUAAAAAAGACUAGGACAGGAACUCUCCAAAGCGCUAAACAGAAACAGUUUCAAACAGAUCAACUCCCCAAACAAACAAAAAAGCUUGUUUAACUCAUCACCCUCUGAAACCUUUUGGCAACCUAUUAUAUGAGUGAACAAUACCCGGGGAUAUAGUCUUAAAGAAAACAAUCACCCUCAUUUUUUGAACGAUUAGGCCUUCAAGGGCAGAACUUUAACAAUCAUUUGUAACAUAUAAACUUUUAAAUGGUGGGUAUUUUUUUCAAAUGUAGGGAUUUGUGGGGAAAUGAAUAGAGUUUAUGUAGGUAAAGCAUUGGUAGUAAUCACAUGUGCAGUCGGUAUAAUUGAUAUGGAAAGAGUGGCAAACAAAUCACAACAUUAGUAGUUGCAGGUGAUGGUCAGAUGGAAUCUCCAGGGUUUUGUGCAAGUGAAGGAAGCCAUACUCUCAUGGAAUUAGCUGGCAAAAAAUCAUUAGCUAUGGAAUGUGGAGCUGGAAAAGGUUUGUUGAAUCGAUGUGAUUGAUAGAAUGCUGGGAAAGUAAAAAAUUCUCAAAGAAUGUGAGAAACAGACGCGUUUUAGACAAUUGCAGUGCAUGCAAAUGUUUUAGAUUCAGAAUAUUGGUUUUAGUUUUCUAAAUUUCACCUUGUAGAAAAGCUCACUCAAUAGUCUCACAAAGAAGUCGCCAAUAACGAAAGGCAGUUUAAAAUCAAUUUGCGUGAGUCAACAUGAGUUCACCACAGCAAAAGAAAAAGUUUCUUCCAAGCAGUACUACAAGCCCACUCCAGUUUCCUCCCAGCCAUAGAUAUACAAUUUGCAGGAUAUACAACUAUUUUUCUCUGAAGAAAAGGUCACAACUCCAGGAAAUCCCUAUUUUACAAUUCAAUUAAAAGUAUCCGCAACAGAACAGAUAGCAGUGAGAGUAAUAAAGAAAUGGAACAAAGAUAUAAACCGAGAUAUCUUCAUCCAAAAACAAAAUGGAGGUGUACCUGUCACUUUAUAAAAUAUAGCUGCUGGCAUCUUCUUCUUCAAUUCCUUUCAGGAAAGUGACCUCCUCAAAUGUUCCUUGAAACUAAACUUUACUCGUUUUUAUCAGUUACCACCAACUGUCCAAGAAAUGAAAAACAAACUUCCAGCCUCUAUUCUUUCCAAAGACAGUUACAGUGGAUUGGGAGAAAAAAGUUAUUUCCCCUGGAUGAACCAUCCCCACCAAAAUACGCGAGGGAUGACGUUCCUUUAGACCACUCUGGCCACGUUCUAAAAGAGAAAUAGAGGAGCUUCAGCCAUGUUGCUAUUAAGCAGUACUGUGGCAUAAAAUUAUCAAUAACAAAUUAUCAAAAAUUCACAGCAAAGAAAUUGUUGACAUGGAAACAUACAUGUCAGAUGCCGUAGUUGAAAAGAAGUUCUGAUGCCCAGAGAUAAUAUCUACUAAAGUUUUCCUUACCAAUACAUGCGUAAGCAAAAAUUUCACAAGAAAAUUAGCAACUACAAGUACGGAAAGGUUCAUAAAUUGCCGCAUGCCAAUUACAAAAUGCCCCAUCACCCUAAGGUGCCAGAUAACCAUUUUAACAAACAAUCACCAACUCUCUAUAAAUGCUACAGCUGAUGUCUUGGCAAGCUUUUUGGAGACAGAUGUUGCCCAAACAUACAAAGAAUUUCCUUUGGAGCUCGAAGAUAAAAUUCUGAAGCUUGAACAAAUCGAUAUUGACUAUAACAGUAAAUACAACUAAAUUACUCGAAUUUCAUAUCUUCAAAACUGAAUUGCUCCAUUUAUUUGACACCAUCUUUGUCCCAAACCAAAUAAUGAUUUUAAUUAUAUAAUUACAAUUCCUGUAACGUUAAAUGUUGCAUUUUUUUCUUAAAACCAUCUUAUCCAAUCAGCUUAUUGACUGAAUUGAAACCAAGAAUCGUUCCCAAAAACAUUUAUAAGCACCCAUAGAAAAAAACAAGAAUGUGAUUAAUGUUAACAAUAGCAAAGAGACAGACCAUGAAGCAGACCAUGAAGCAGACCAUAAAGCAGACCAUAAAGCAGACCAUAAAGCAGACCAUAAAGCAGACCAUAAAGCAGACCAUAAAGCAGACCAUAAAGCAGACCAUAAAGCAGACCAUAAAGCAGACCAUAAAGCAGACCAUAAAGCAGACCAGACCAUAAAGCAGACCAGACCAUAAAGCAGACCAUAAAGCAGACCAUAAAGCAGACCAUAAAGCAGACCAGACCAUA